UUGUUAGCUCAGUCGGUAGAGCAGUUGACUUUUAAUCAAUUGGUCGUAGGUUCGAGCCGAGCGAAGCGAGACA
rnacentral:tRNA from 1 species